rnacentral:rRNA from 1 species
AACGAACGCUGGCGGCAGGCCUAACACAUGCAAGUCGAGCGCGCCCUUCGGGGUGAGCGGCGGACGGGUGAGUAACGCGUGGGAACGUGCCCUUCUCUGCGGAAUAGCCUCGGGAAACUGAGAGUAAUACCGCAUACGCCCUUUGGGGGAAAGAUUUAUCGGAGAAGGAUCGGCCCGCGUUGGAUUAGGUAGUUGGUGGGGUAAUGGCCCACCAAGCCGACGAUCCAUAGCUGGUUUGAGAGGAUGAUCAGCCACACUGGGACUGAGACACGGCCCAGACUCCUACGGGAGGCAGCAGUGGGGAAUCUUAGACAAUGGGGGCAACCCUGAUCUAGCCAUGCCGCGUGAGUGAUGAAGGCCUUAGGGUUGUAAAGCUCUUUCAGCUGGGAAGAUAAUGACGGUACCAGCAGAAGAAGCCCCGGCUAACUCCGUG